CUUUAUUUUGGCUGUCUGUAACAGGCCAUUAUUAAAGAGUAAAGUUAAGUUGGCUAUAGUGGACAAAUUAAAUGUGUAUUUCACUAAGUAAAUUCAGUUAAGUAUACAUUUUAUGUACCUGUAAUUUAGUGGGCAACUGAUGGAGUAUCAACAAAUAAACUCUUGUUACAAAGUUCCACAUUGACUUUCAUCAAGACAUUCUCUUUAUAGAUUCACCUUUGAGCUGUGCUAUUUUUGGAAGAUUAUGUAUGUAGAUGGUGUUCAUAUGAAAUCUGUUAACUUCAUAAAUAUGCUGCAAGAGGUGCAAAGAGCUUGAUUUUACGUGUGUUUUCUAAGCCUCUUUGUUUUUAAUAGCACUUGUUUCAGAGUGACCAUUAUGCUAGUAUCUUAGUCUGCUAGUUCCCAUUCUUUAUUCAAAUAUUUAUAAGUCACUGUUCAUGGUCUGCUAACAUUAUUUUUGUGCCACUUGCAUUGGGUACAAGUACAUGUUCAGAUUAAAAGCUUUGAAACUAAAUCCGGUGAUUAGGCCUGACUAGAAUAGACCCAUUGAAUGAGUAGAACUUGGUAGCGUAAACAAUUUUGUAUGUCCUAUUCAUUCAUUGGAUUUGCAUUUGUUGAGACUAACUACUGAAUUUCACCCAAAAUGAUUUGAGACCAGGUUAUCUUAAGGCAGAGGUAUGAGUCAUUCAUCCAGCGUCCUGUGCUGGAGCCGCUAGAGCACAAAAAAGUUCCACCAGAAACAAAGCCCUUUUAAAAACAAAGUGCAGGCAUAUAUGAUUUACUUGAGAAAAGGUAGUGUAGCUCCUGGAGUGGCAGGGACCAGGGAAAUGGAGACUGGAGAAAUGGUCCCUGACUUUUGGAGACUGUCCACUUCCUUGAGGACUGCCUUCAACUGUAUGAUCCUGCCUGAUUAUGCAGAUCAGCUCAGAGGUUUUUUAUCUGAUUAUAAGAUAAAAACACUGAGUUUGUGAGCAAAGACAGGUGAUGGUCAAAUAGCUGUGGAAUGUUCUUCACUUACUCAUUCCCACAGCUAUGGAAUGUCCUUUCUUUUUAAAAAAUAUUUUUCUUGUAAAUAUACAUACAUAUAUGCACACACCUUGUGCAUAAAAUCAGCAAAUCAACUACAAAUGUAAUACAAUACAAACAAAGGCACUAAGUAAAUUUACAGCGCUUCAUAAAUAAAGGUUAAUAAUAAUAAUAAUAUUGUCCCACUUGCUUUUCAGAAUUUGAACAGCUUACUCAUAAUAAUUUCUAGUUUGCCAAAUGUAUUUUUGUACAAUUCUCCUUGUGUAUGUUGUUUUUUGAGGGCAAGACCUUGCAAAGCAGCUUAUAAAUACUUUGAAUAAAUAAAGGAAUGGGUACUACAGUUGGCCCUCCAUUUUUGUGGGAGAUCCAUUCCGGAUGCCCUGCAAAAAUGGAAGCUCGCACAUAGUCAAGUCCCAUAGGUUUGAAUGGUCGUGUGCAUGUGGCGGGUAUGUGUGCCGGGCAUGUGCCCAAUUAAAAAUAUUGGAGGUCACUCCUCUGCAUAUUUCCGAGGUUGUGGAUCCCAGAUCUGCGAGUUAGGAGGGGCAACUGUAGUAGGUUAUGAUACUGGUAGAGAGCGUUAAUAGCAGCACUUAAAAUAAUUGCAUCUUCUUUGUUUUCUCUUUAAUAGCAAGCAGAAGUUUUAGAAGAAAGUGAUGAUGAAGAUGAAGAUAAUGCUGAUGAGGUUUUUGGCUUCAUAAGCCUUUUAAAUUUAACUGAAAGGAAGGGUACUGAGUGUGCUGAGCAAAUUAAAGAGCUGGUCUUAAGCCAGUGUGAGAAGAACUGUGAGCUGAAUAUGGUUGAACAGCUGGAUAAGCUUCUAAGUGACACAACCAAGCCUGUGGGCUUCCUACUAAGUGAAAGAUUCAUUAAUGUACCACCCCAGAUUGCUCUGCCCAUGCACCAACAACUGCA